UUUGAUGGCGACCGGCGCACGGGUGAGUAACACGUAUCCAACCUGCCGAUAACUCGGGGAUAGCCUUUCGAAAGAAAGAUUAAUACCCGAUGGUAUAAUCAGACCGCAUGGUCUUGUUAUUAAAGAAUUUCGGUUAUCGAUGGGGAUGCGUUCCAUUAGGCAGUUGGUGAGGUAACGGCUCACCAAACCUUCGAUGGAUAGGGGUUCUGAGAGGAAGGUCCCCCACAUUGGAACUGAGACACGGUCCAA
rnacentral:rRNA from 1 species